rnacentral:rRNA from 1 species
GACGUAGACCCGAAACCGGGCGACCGACCCAUGAGCAGGAUGAAGCGAAAGUAAAAGUUCGUGGAGGUCCGAACCCACGAGCGUUGAAAAGCUCGGGGAUGACUUGUGGGUAGCGGUGAAAUUCCAAGCGAGCCCGGAGAUAGCUGGUUCUCCCCGAAAUAGCUUUAGGGCUAGCCUCAAGGUGAGAGAUACGGAGGUAGAGCACUGAAUGUCCUAGGGGGUAUUGCACCUACCGAAGACUAUCAAACUCCGAAU